UACGUAGGCAGCGAGCGUUGUUCGGAGUUACUGGGCGUAAAGGGUGUGUAGGCGGUUGUUUAAGUUUGGUGUGAAAUCUCCCGGCUCAGCUGGGAGGGUGCGCCGAAUACUGAAUGACUAGAGUGCGGGAGAGGUGAGUGGAAUUCCUGGUGUAGCGGGUGAAAUGCGUAGAUAUCGAGAGGAACACCGGCGGCGAAGGCGGCCAACUGACGAAUACUGACCGCUGGAGACUCGAAAGCGUGGGAGCAACAGG
rnacentral:rRNA from 1 species